UAAAUUCCUUGGUCCGUUUUGGUCUAAAAAUCAUAAUACAUGUUGUUCUCUCUGGCAUGUUGAUUUAUAGAUUUCAGAUUCAUUGCGAAGCACUUGUACAUAAAGAGAAAACAUGUGAAACCUCAUAAUAUUUUUUCAGACACUAAUCUCACGUUGCGUCCAUCAGUACACCUUGUUACAAAAAAAAUCCCCUGCAGAUAAUGUUUCACAAGACACCAUCAGCUAAUCCUGCUUUGAUGUCCAUCUUAUACGUACAGGAGGAAUUGGAGUCAUACAGGAAGAACAAAUGACUCAUGUACUUGCUUGUAUCUAAUGGUAGUCCUAGCUAGAAGUGUCUUGGACUUUUAAGAAAUUGACUUGGUCAUCGUCACUUGAUGUACACUUACUUUCUGCUCGGCUCUGACAUCGUUCUUGUGCUCGAGAUCGAGAGAAUGUUUUCCCGUUGCCGUUGCUGUUUGCAUUGUUCUGCACGGGGAGGCCACGGUCAGGUCUUAUACGGUAAUACGGACGAUUUGCCGAGUCACAAUGGAAGCCCGUGCUCGAUGCAAUCGCGGAACUCUCGCCUCUCGGUAACCAGGGAUUGGUUAGGACAGACGAAAAUCGAUGGACCAAGGCAGAACACAUGACGGAUUCGUUCCUUGCUUUAUAAUUACUGUUUUUAGUUGGAUUAUUAUUUAAGAAAUCCUUGAAGCACGUAUCACUGUUUUUAGUUGGUCUGUCUGCUGAAUCCUUGAGGACUUAACUUUUUUAAAAGAGAGGUAACGCUCACCUAGUUCACUAGAGCACAUAUGACUGUUUUUAGUUGGACUAUUAUUUAAGAAAUCAAAAUUUAAGAAGGGUGUAUCUGUCAUGGGCAAUAGAUGGAUGGGCGAGAAGUUAAUUAACAUGAAUAAGAAGGUGUUAAACUACUUCGAUGUUGUCAUGAUGCUUUCUUUGUUCCUUGUCUCGCAAAUGUCCAUCUUUCGCUCUAAAAAGCCUAGAGAACCCUACAAAUACGUUUGUGACCAGUCAUAUAGCGCAUAUAUGGAAGGAUCAAGGAUCAAACUUGCCAUGAGGACCCUAAGGCUAAUCACAAUGGGGUUUCAUGGCGAGUUUCAUGGCAUUAAUUACCAUGACACAUCAGCAUUUUUGAUGAUGUGGCACUGAUUUAAUGAGGCUGCUAACUCGUUUCCAAGACGUUGGAAAUGGCGUGAAACGACCACUGUGACCGUCGUUGUUUCAUGGGGUAUCCCGUGCGCCAAUAGAUCAACUAGCAUUUAAUUACACUGGUUAGCUUUGAAAACAGUGAAAUGAAACUCUCCAUUGAGCUAUAGUGUUUCAUUCAUCCCCCAAGCUGAUGUGGCGUUUUUGGAAAUAGGAAUACGAAACCUCCUAUUGUGAUUAGCCUAAGAGAGACGGUAGCAUUGUGCAAAGCAAUCAAUUAAUGUGAUAGAUGCUAAAACAAGAUAUUCAACUAACCCUGAGAUAAUUUUUCAAAUCAAAGAAGUUCCGCAGUGCAUAUAAACAAAAUCGAUCAGCUUGUCAUACUACAUUAAAGUUGAAAUUUCGACUUUAGUGUCACAUCCAGUGUUUUGAAAAAGAAUAGAUAUUAUUCCUUGUCUCCAACUCCAAGGCUAAUUAAGGAGUGCAUACCAACAAUUUGGCUCCACAAUCCAUGGUCCAUAUAUGAGUGAAAAUUUUAUGUAUUAAUUUUCAAUAAUAUAUUUCUUUGGUUUUAUAAACUGAUUAGGCUAAGCUACCUAUCGUCGAUAAUGAAAAAGAAACUGUCAUCACCAAGCAGUAUGUGUAAAACACAAGGUGAACACCACUAAAAAACACACACACAGAGUACAUCCGCGGAUGCUUAUGACCCACUAAAGCAAUGGCAGCAAAUUACCGGAGCCUGGGCAAAAACACACUUACCGAUUGUUCUUGAGGAAGGCUGCUUUUGGAUUACUAUGACCUAGAGCUGCCACCGUAUCAGUCAAAAGAGCCAGGUGGACCGGCCGAUUUAAGCGACAGGGGCCAGAAGCCCAACAUGAAUAAAAGAAGAAGAAGAAGAAGAAGAAGAAGAAAUUGCCCUAGCUACGUGCCCCAGAGGAUAGACCGGAAAGGCGAAGGGAAAGUGGGCAACAGCUGCCUAGCCUAGCCGCUAGAACGCGCCGGGGG
rnacentral:lncRNA from 1 species